GAUGAACGCUGACAGAAUGCUUAACACAUGCAAGUCAACUGUGGCGGACGGGUGAGUAACGCGUAAAGAACAUGCCUCACAGAUAGGGACAACAACUGGCAACGAAUGCUAAUACCUGAUACUGUGAGAGAGCUUUGCGUCCCAUUAGCUAGUUGGAGGGGUAACGGCUCACCAAGGCGAUGAUGGGUAGCCGGCCUGCGCGGGUGAUCGGCCACAAGGGGUCUGAGAGACAGCCCUAACUCCUACGGGAGGCUGCAGUGGAGAAUAAUGGACAAUGGACCAAAAUCUGAGCCAGCAAUUCUGUGUUCACGAUGAAGGUUGCGGAAUAUAAAGUGCUUUAAGUUGGGAAGCGGUACCAACAGAAGAAGUGACGGCUAAAUACGUGCCAGCAGCCGCGGUAAUUC
rnacentral:rRNA from 1 species